GAUGAACGCUGGCGGCGUGCCUAAUACAUGCAAGUCGAGCGAACAGACGAGGAGCUUGUUCCUCUGACGUUAGCGGCGGACGGGCGAGUAACACGUGGAUAACCUACUUAUAAGACUGGGAUAAUUUCGGGAAACCGGAUCUAAUACUGGAUAAUAUAUUGAACCGCAUGGUUCAAUAGUGAAUGACGGCUUUGCCGUCUCUUAUAGAUGGUUCCGCGCCGCAUUAGCUAGUUGGUAAGGUAACGGCUUACCAAGGCAACGAUGCGUAGCCGACCUGAGAGGGUGAUCGGCCACACUGGAACUGAGACACGGUCCAGACUCCUACGGGAGGCAGCAGUAGGGAAUCUUCCGCAAUGGGCGAAAGCCUGACGGAGCAACGCCGCGUGAGUGAUGAAGGUCUUCGGAUCGUAAAACUCUGUUAUUGGGGAAGAACAGAUGUGUAAGUAACUAUGCACGUCUUGACGGUACCUAAUCAGAAAGCCACGGCUAACUACGUG
rnacentral:rRNA from 1 species